rnacentral:rRNA from 1 species
UGGGGAAUAUUGCACAAUGGGCGCAAGCCUGAUGCAGCGAUGCCGCGUGAGGGAAGAAGGUUUUCGGAUUGUAAACCUCUGUCAUCAGGGACGAAAAAAGACGGUACCUGAGAAGGAAGCUCCGGCUAACUACGUGCCAGCAGCCGCGGUAAUACGUAGGGAGCAAGCGUUAUCCGGAAUUACUGGGUGUAAAGGGAGCGUAGACGGCUGUGUAAGUCUGAAGUGAAAGCCCGGGGCUCAACCCCGGGACUGCUUUGGAAACUAUGCAGCUAGAGUGUCGGAGAGGUAAGUGGAAUUCCCAGUGUAGCGGUGAAAUGCGUAGAUAUUGGGAGGAACACCAGUGGCGAAGGCGGCUUACUGGACGAUGACUGACGUUGAGGCUCGAAAGCGUGGGGAGCAAACAGGAUUAGAUACCCUGGUAGU